rnacentral:rRNA from 1 species
CCUACGGGAGGCAGCAGUGAGGAAUAUUGGUCAAUGGACGGAAGUCUGAACCAGCCAUGCCGCGUGCAGGAAGACGGCCCUAUGAGUUGUAAACUGCUUUUGUACAAGGGUAAACCUGAAUACGUGUAUUCAGCUGAAAGUACUGUACGAAUAAGGAUCGGCUAACUCCGUGCCAGCCGCCGCGGUAAUACGGAGGAUCCAAGCGUUCUCCGGAUUUAUUGGGUUUAAAGGGUGCGUAGGCGGAUUGAUAAGUUAGAGGUGAAAUGUCCGAGCUUAACUCGGGAACUGCCUCUAAUACUGUUGAUCUAGAGAGUAGAUGCGGUAGGCGGAAUGUAUGGUGUAGCUGUGAAAUGCUUAGAGAUCAUACAGAACACCGAUUGCGAAGGCAGCUUACCAAUCUAUAUCUGACGUUGAGGCACGAAAGCGUGGGGAGCAAACAGGAUUAGAUACCCGGGUAGUC